UAUUCCACCAAUCAUGGAAACGAACAUGGUUGCAAUGGCAAGUGCUCAGUUGGUUUCGUGAUGCCGUAUAAGAUAGCCUCCAUACCAUAGAAGAAACGCGUAACAGCAGAAAAACAACAAAGUAAGUUGCACUUAAUCCCAUUCCCUUUGCAAGACCAGUUUUGUAGCCAAGUCAUCUUCCAAUUAAACCUAUCAUAUCUGGUGUCAAGCUAAUCUCUGCAAUGGAGGUAUUUCCUGAGCCUAUGAUUACCACCAACAAUCCUGAUACCGAGAAUAUGUUCUUCAUCAUCAAGCUGUUCCAACCUCUCAGUACUAGUUGUAGCUGGAGAACCAGAUUUAACAUUCACUUCUCUAACACUUACAAUGCCAAGAUCACCUUGCAUAAUACACCUGCUAACAAAUGGUUUAUAUUUCUGUGGCUGAUCAAAUCUUCUAACCAGAGACCAAACAAGAUGAACAGGGGCUAAAGAUGGUUUUCCAUGUCACCCAUAUGUACAUCUGAAUCAACAGAAUCUCGUAGUUCCAAACUUUGCGCCAUUUGUCUAGGCCUUUACCACGUCGGAACGAAAAGCAUCAAUAGUUCCACUGUGUAUACUUUUCCAAAAAUAUUGCCACAUAUCACAUUUUGAUGUUGUUUCAAUGCAUGUUAUUAUUGAAUUAGGCAUGACUGUUGUAUGGUUUAUUACACAACUAUUGCGUUGGAUUGCUCCUAGAACACUAACUUCCGAUUCAAAUUCUCUCUGAUUCUGUCUUCGAUCAAAGGUACCUUAUUUUUCACCAUCCUCUAAUAGAUGCCUCCCUGACCAUGCUGCCAAGGUCGUGCACACAUCUAACACAACAUUCCUUUUCUUAUUUGUAGGUGUUCCUGCAACAUGUCUUCACAGGUGCGUUUGAGUGAUCCGGUUCCUUGAGCAAUAAGCUCUUGGCUGCAAGUACUUAGGAAAUCAAUCUGCAAUGACAAUCUCCCCACCACUAUCACCUAG
rnacentral:lncRNA from 1 species